AUUGAACGCUGGCGGCAGGCCUAACACAUGCAAGUCGAACGGUAACAGGAAACAGCUUGCUGUUUCGCUGACGAGUGGCGGACGGGUGAGUAAUGUCUGGGAAACUGCCUGAUGGAGGGGGAUAACUACUGGAAACGGUAGCUAAUACCGCAUAACGUCGCAAGACCAAAGAGGGGGACCUUCGGGCCUCUUGCCAUCGGAUGUGCCCAGAUGGGAUUAGCUAGUAGGUGGGGUAACGGCUCACCUAGGCGACGAUCCCUAGCUGGUCUGAGAGGAUGACCAGCCACACUGGAACUGAGACACGGUCCAGACUCCUACGGGAGGCAGCAGUGGGGAAUAUUGCACAAUGGGCGCAAGCCUGAUGCAGCCAUGCCGCGUGUAUGAAGAAGGCCUUCGGGUUGUAAAGUACUUUCAGCGGGGAUGAAGGGAGUAAAGUUAAUACCUUUGCUCAUUGACGUUACCCGCAGAAGAAGCGCCGGCUAACUCCGUG
rnacentral:rRNA from 1 species